CAAAAAAUAGUUUAUUUAAAAUUCUAAUUUUGGAGAUUAGUGAUAUAAUAUUAAUUAUUUUUUUGA
rnacentral:tRNA from 1 species